ACAAAGCAUUUGUGUUUAGUGAAUCUGUCAGAUCAGGUAGUAGGGAUGACCAUGGAUGUCAGAUCAGGUAGUAGGGAUGACCAUGGAUGUCAGAUCAGGUAGUAGGGAUGACCAUGGAUGUCAGAUCAGUAGUAGGGAUGACCAGGGAUGUCAGAUCAGGUAGUAGGGAUGUCAGAUCAGGUAGUAGGGAUGUCAGAUCAGGUAGUAGGGAUGACAAGGGAUGUCAGAUCAGGUAGUAGGGAUGACCAGGGAUGUCCAGAUCAUGUAGUAGGGAUGACCAGGGAUGUCAGAUCAGGUAGUAGGGAUGACCAGGGAUGUCAGAUCAGGUAGUAGGGAUGACCAGGGAUGUCAGAUCAGGUAGUAGGGAUGACCAGGGAUGUCAGAUCAGGUAGUAGGGAUGACCAGGGAUGUUCUCUUG
rnacentral:lncRNA from 1 species